rnacentral:lncRNA from 1 species
UUGCUACUCAUCUAUUUAUAUAUGAGCUAGAGGCAGAUAAAAUAAAUAAAUCUUUAACUCUCUUACCCGUAUGGAUGACGUCUGCCUUGAGCUCUUGAAUGUUCUUUAAAAACUUCACGUCGUGUGGACCGAAGAGCACGUAGUUUCCAGUAUCCACAGCAUUUGCAACUGAAAAUAAGUUCUUCUUCAUCUCAGGUACAUGAAACACACUCUUGAGUGUGAUUGGAUCUUCAUCUCCUCCGUUGAUAACAAUGGUGCCUUCACUCUUGACCGGAUGGACUGUAUUGUCUGCUGUCACAAUGGCCUCACCACCAUUGUAUUCUUGGAUGCUUGAAAAUUUGGAGUUAUCUCCAGUGAGAUGAUGGCCACAGCCGGAGUCAACAAUCCAAUCGUCUUCAAAAUUGAUGGAAGCUAGCGCAUCGACUUGUCUUGUUUCUGCCACAAAUCACUUUCCCCAAUCUUCUUUUUCUUCAACCUUUUCUGCUCCAGCCAUAUUUCCUUCUUUUAGCAUCGCCCGACAGAACCUUUUGAUAUGCCCUGUUCUGCCACAUCAAUAGCAUUUGAAAACCUUUUUGUGAUUUUCAGAUGAUUCAUCUUUUCUCUCAUUUGAGCUAUUGGGAGGUGAUUGGUAUGGUGGAAUGGAGGUGGGAAUGGAAUGGUGAUUCCUACCUCCAUUCCAUUCCUAUGCUUGGUAUAGUUUUAUUUUAGGAAUCACCAUUCCUUUACAUAUAGGAAUCAUCAUUCCUUCCUUCCAACAUGGUAUUACCCAUUCCAUUCCAUUCCAUUCCAUUUCUAAUUCCACCUAAAUUCAGGUUUUGACAAAAUUACUCUUAUAUAUUUUGCACCCUCAUCCCCAACCCCACCCCACACCCCUCCCACCCCCCCCCCAAAAAAAAAAAAUUAUUUUUAUUUUUUUAAAAAAAUUCUCGCCACCCCACCCCCCCAAUUUUUUUUUUUAAGUUUUCUCGCCACCACCACACCCCACCCACCCCUCCCUCCCUUCCUAAUUUUUUUUUUCUCCCCACCCCACCUGCCACCNAAUUGUUAUGUAUAAUUUUUUUAUUAAUUUUUUAAAAAUUAUAUUAUAUUAUACUCCCUCCGUCCCCAAAAUAAGUUCCUCUUUGGGGACGGCACGGGUUUUAAGAGAAAAUGGUAAAGUAUAUUGAUAGUGGAGAAAAAUAUGUUAUAAUUAGUAUUGGGAGUGGUUAAAAGGUGAAAAAGUAUUAUAAUUAGUAUUGGGAGUGGUGAAAAAGUGAAAAGUAAGAAUAAAUAAAGUAUUAUUAGUGGUGGGGUAGUUGUCCAAAAAUUGAAAGAAAGAAAGAGGAACUUAUUUGGGGGACGUUCCAAAAAGGAAAAAGAUGAACUUAUUUCAGGGACGGAGGGAGUAUAACAUAUUUUUCUCCACUAUCAAUACACUUUACCAUUUUUUCUUAAAACCCGUGCCGUCCCCAAAGAGGAACUUAUUUUGGGGACGGAGGGAGUAUUUGAUUUGAUAUAUUAAAUUAUUGACAAUUUGAGUUAUUUGCUUUGUGUUCUUUUUUUUAUUGAUAAGAAAUUAAACAAAAAAUAUUAUUUUGUCAACUAAUUGUCAUGCAAUAAUAAAUACAUCACGUCAAAAUUGGCACACCAUAUAUUGGCUUGCUAUUUGGCCGAAAUUUGGAUUAGUAGCAAAAUCAGAUAAAAUCAAAAGUUUAGUAAUUAUCACGCCACAGUUCAAAGUUUGUGUGCAAAACCAGAAUUGAAUGAAAGUUUAGUAUUUUAUGGGCAAUUAACCCCAUCUUUAAUGAAUUCUCCCUCAUUGUCAGUUCGUAAUCGCUUGAUUUUUGAAUCGAGCUCUCCUUCAACCAAUUCCUUGAAUUCUUUAAAUAUGCUAAAAACCUGUGACUUGUGUUGUAGAAAGUAAACCCAAGUGUAUCUGCUGAAAUCAUCAACAAGGAUUAGUAUAAAAGAAUUUUCAGAAUAUGAAGGAGUUCUAGUUGGUCCCAUCAAGUCACUAUGGAUAAGCUCCAAAGGGGCUUUACUCCGAGAAGAUGAUCUCUCAAAAGGAAGUCUGUGAGUCUUCCCAUAUUGACAUCCUUCACAAACUUGUCCGCCGCCAAAAUUUGUGAGAUUAGGCAACCCAUUUACUAAAUCUUUUUUCACCAUAACCUUUAAUUUAUCCAUACUUAGAUGUCUCAAUCUAGCAUACCAUAAAUGAGCAUUGUUGUUGCUACUCAUCUUAUUUAUAUAUGAGCUAGAGGCAGAUAAAAUAAAUAAAUCUUUAACUCUCUUACCAGUAUGGAUGACGUCUGCCUUGAGCUCUUGAAUGUUCUUUAAAAACUUCACGUCGUGUGGAUCGAAGAGCACGUAGUUUCCAGUAUCCACAGCAUUUGCAACUGAAAACAAGUUCUUCUUCAUCUCAGGUACAUGAAACACACUCUUGAGUGUGAUUGGAUCUUCAUCUCCUCCGUUGAUAACAAUGGUGCCUUCACUCUUGACCGGAUGGACUGUAUUGUCUGCUGUCACAAUGGCCUCACCACCAUUGUAUUCUUGGAUGCUUGAAAAUUUGGAGUUAUCUCUAGUGAGAUGAUGGCCACAGCCGGAGUCAACAAUCCAAUCGUCUUCAAAAUUGAUGGAAGCUAGCGCAUCGACUUGUCUUGUUUCUGCCACAAAUCACUUUCCCCAAUCUUCUUUUUCUUCAACCUUUU